rnacentral:rRNA from 1 species
CCUACGGGAGGCUGCAGUGGGGAAUUUUGGACAAUGGGGGCAACCCUGAUCCAGCAAUGCCGCGUGAGUGAAGAAGGCCUUCGGGUUGUAAAGCUCUUUUGUGGAACGCCCGGUACCUGAAGAAUAAGCACCGGCUAACUACGUGCCAGCAGCCGCGGUAAUACGUAGGGUGCAAGCGUUAAUCGGAAUUACUGGGCGUAAAGCGUGCGCAGGCGGUUUUGUAAGUCUGAUGUGAAAUCCCCGGGCUUAACCUGGGAAUUGCAUUGGAGACUGCAAGGCUGGAGUCUGGCAGAGGGGGGUAGAAUUCCACGUGUAGCAGUGAAAUGCGUAGAGAUGUGGAGGAACACCGAUGGCGAAGGCAGCCCCCUGGGUCAGCUGACGCUAAUGCACGAAAGCGUGGGGAGCAAACAGGAUUAGAUACCCUUGUAGUC